rnacentral:rRNA from 1 species
CCUACGGGUGGCAGCAGUGGGGAAUAUUGCACAAUGGGCGCAAGCCUGAUGCAGCCAUGCCGCGUGUGUGAAGAAGGCCUUCGGGUUGUAAAGCACUUUCAGCGGGGAGGAAGGCGUUAAGGUUAAUAACCUUGUCGAUUGACGUUACCCGCAGAAGAAGCACCGGCUAACUCCGUGCCAGCAGCCGCGGUAAUACGGAGGGUGCAAGCGUUAAUCGGAAUUACUGGGCGUAAAGCGCACGCAGGCGGUCUGUCAAGUCGGAUGUGAAAUCCCCGGGCUCAACCUGGGAACUGCAUUCGGAACUGGCAGGCCAGAGUCUUGUAGAGGGGGGUAGAAUUCCAGGUGUAGCGGUGAAAUGCGUAGAGAUCUGGAGGAAUACCGGUGGCGAAGGCGGCCCCCUGGACAAAGACUGACGCUCAGGUGCGAAAGCGUGGGGAGCAAACAGGAUUAGAUACCCUAGUAGUC